rnacentral:tRNA from 2 species
GCUCCUGUAGCCCAACUGGAAGAGGCGGCUAACUCAAAAUUAGCAGGAUGUGAGUUCAAAUCUCACCAGGAGUA